rnacentral:rRNA from 1 species
AUGCAUUGGGAAGAGUUUGGGCGGGUCGCGGUUGAUAUCGGACCUGUAAAUGAAGAAAUUUUCAUUGCAAUGGGCAUAAUUAAUGUUGUGGUGGGGCUUAGUUGCACGCUCGUUGGUCUGCCCAGGGCGAAGGAGUUCACCGUGGUGGACACGCCACUCCUGGAGCGGCUCUUCUUGUUCCUGCCGCCUAAUGGUGUGGUGGGGCUUAGGAUCGCUUGUGCUCCCAACCUGCGGGUGCUCGCCUACUAG